UACGUAGGGGGCAAGCGUUGUCCGGAAUCAUUGGGCGUAAAGCGCGCGUAGGCGGCCCGGUAAGUCCGUUGUGAAAGUCAAAGGCUCAACCUUUGAACGCCGAUGGAUACUGCCGGGCUAGAGUCCGGAAGAGGCGAGUGGAAUUCCUGGUGUAGCGGUGGAAUGCGUAGAGAUCAGCAGGAACACCCGUGGCGAAGGCGGCCCCCUGGGCCGUACCUGACGCUGAGGAGCGAAAGCGUGGGGAGCAAACAGG
rnacentral:rRNA from 1 species